AGGGAAACUCAGCAAACAGAGGGUUUGCUUCUCAUCAGGAUGAGAUCCUCUCAUUGUCAGUCUUCUUCAACACAGCAUGCAAGACCAACAUGCUUCAGUGUAAGAGUGGAAGUCUGGGAGAAGCUUGUGCAUGAAACAACAGGAAAGAAGGAGCCCAGAAGAAUGAAGCAAGAGCAGGCAUGCUGUCAAAGUAUCCUGAUCUGUAACUGGAGUGAUGGGGCUUUUAAUAAAACGGGGAAGGACCUUUUGCAAGCUCCUAUGAUCAGCAUUAAAAUACAUCUUUCCAUUUUUAAUCUA